GAUGAAGAACGUAGCGAAAUGCGAUAAGUAAUGUGAAUUGCAGAAUUCAGUGAAUCAUCGAAUCUUUGAACGCAUCUUGCGCUCCUUGGUAUUCCUUGGAGCAUGCCUGUUUGAGUAUCAUGAGCAAAUCUCAAAGUCAAUUCCUUUUGUUAAUUCAAUUGGUUUUGCUUUGGACUUGGAGGUCUUGCAGAUUUCACAGUCUGCUCCUCUUAAAUGCAUUAGCUGGAUCUCAGUAAUUAUGCUUGGUUCCACUCGGCGUGAUAAGUAUCACUCGCUGAGGACACUGUUAAAAAGGUGGCCAGGAAAAUACUGAUUGAACCGCUUCUAACGGUCUAUUAAGUUAGACAAUUGACCCUUAAGUUUGAUCUCAAAGCAGGUAGGACUACCCGCUGAACUUAAGCAUAUCAAUAAGCGGAGGA
rnacentral:misc_RNA from 1 species